UAUAUAUAUAUAUAUCAGCCAACCUAACUAGAUAAGAUAGGUGAAGGUAAGAAUUGCAUUCUGCCAGGAAUCGGAAAAAGAUUUUUCCUGAGAGACAAUGAUACAGCAUGUCAAAUACAGAAGUGAAUGCUAGUAAAAAACCAGUGAACUAAAAACGGACCUGCUCUUGGUAAACUUAAAAAAAGGAUUAGAAGAGCUUAAGGUACUUUCAACCCCAUAAGAACAACAAUGCCAAUGAACCAGGGCUUUCUCUUACUGUACGAAUACACAAAGAAAGUACAUGGACUGAGGAAUGGCUCCAAAUUCAUAUAUGGCAAUGGAUGUAAUUUUUGAUCAACAUUGGAAAGAGAAGCCCUUGUCCUCCCUUGUACAUCUUUCAGUUCAAGGGAAUGUCAUGCGGGAGAAAGGCUGGUUAGAGAAAAAGGAAAUGGGAAUGUGUAGGGAUCUUAUGCUCAGGAAACUCAGAAAGGAAAUAAUAUUUGAAAUUUAAAUAUAGAAACAUCCCGUUAAAAAAAAACAAUAAAAUUUGCUAAAAAUAAAAAAGAAAGAUAUAAAAGAAAGUAAAAGCUGUCAAGUAAUCACACAUAUUGACUCGUAAAUGUGAAGUGGCAGAGUAAUACUAGUGGAAAGACUGAGAUGAUGAAGUCUCAACUAGAAGCACUUCUGUCACGUUAAUAUUAGUGGCAGACAAAAAAAUCACUAUUGGUGUCCAAAGCAUGUUGUUUACUUCGAGAUAGCAACACAAUAUUUGUACUUCCCUUCUUCGUUAGUACCUUUCUUCUUGACAAAAACAGUAAAGGUCAUGAGCUCUGGAAAACAAUUGUGCUCUUCACAAUACUUGGGUUUUGUAAUAAAGAAAUGAAUGAUAUAAACUAUUUGAAUUUUAGGAACCAUAAGAACAGGGAAGUUCAGAUGCUUCUAAGAGACUUGCAGCUCAUGAUUCCCAUAUGUGGAAGGUUCAAAAAAGGCUAUCUCUUUAGCGAUCCCACACAAAUCCUACCUUGGACUCACUAAGCUUUCCAAGGACCACAUAUGCCUUUCUUUUUUUAAAAAAAAACAAGACAGAAAGCCAGCUAUUCCCCUUCUCAUAUCUCUUCAUCUUCUUUUUUGUCACGUCCAAAUAACUGUUUACUCUGAAUUAGAGGCCAAUUAGUAAACCCUAGAGGUAAUGAAGGAACAUCUGAAGAUCAGUUGCAGUCACAGCAAUACUUGUGACAUCACAGAAGAAGCUUUGGCUCUCAAGGAUACCAGUGAUUUUUCAUGAAUGAACUAAUGAUGAUGUCUCUAAGACCUGCCAUGGCCUAUCUGCUAAAGAGCUUUCCUUACAUUGACUAGAUUUGAGGGUGCCCUUUCCAGAGCAAAAAGAGUAAAAGCCACGAGCUCUGAGAAGAACAAAUGUGCCCUUCCCAACAACUGGCUUUUGUAUUGAAGAAAUUGAUUACAUAAACGCUCUGACUUCCAGGAACCAUAUCAAGCAGGGAAGUCCAGAUGAUUCUAAGAAGAUCGCAGCACCUGAUUCCCAUGUGUGGAAGGCUCAGAUAAAGGCUACUACUUCUGCAAUCCCACUCAAUACGUACCCAAGACUCACUGAACUUUCCCAUGGACCAGAUUUGAGGGUGCCCUUUCCAAGAGUGUCUCCUGUGACAUACUGGAAACCUUUACAUAUUAUAUAUCUUUAAAGCUA